GAUGAACGCUGGCGGCGUGCCUAAUACAUGCAAGUCGAGCGAAUGGAUUAAGAGCUUGCUCUUAUGAAGUUAGCGGCGGACGGGUGAGUAACACGUGGGUAACCUGCCCAUAAGACUGGGAUAACUCCGGGAAACCGGGGCUAAUACCGGAUAACAUUUUGAACCGCAUGGCUCGAAAUUGAAAGGCGGCUUCGGCUGUCACUUAUGGAUGGACCCGCGUCGAAUUAGCUAGUUGGUGAGGUAACGGCUCACCAAGGCAACGAUGCGUAGCCGACCUGAGAGGGUGAGCGGCCACACUGGGACUGAGACACGGCCCAGACUCCUACGGGAGGCAGCAGUAGGGAAUCUUCCGCAAUGGACGAAAGUCUGACGGAGCAACGCCGCGUGAGUGAUGAAGGCUUUCGGGUCGUAAAACUCUGUUGUUAGGGAAGAACAAGUGCUAGUUGAAUAAGCUGGCACCUUGACGGUACCUAACCAGAAAGCCACGGCUAACUACGUGCCAGCCGCCGCGGUAA
rnacentral:rRNA from 1 species